rnacentral:rRNA from 1 species
AAACUACGAUUAGAUACCCUAUUAUAACGUCGUUAAAUUAGCCUUGAGUAGUACCAGAUGUCUUUAAACUCAAAGAAUUUGGCGGCCUUCUUACCCAUUAGAGGAGCCUGCCCCGUAAUCGACGGCCCACGAUUUAAAAACCUAAUUUAAUAGUUUGUAUACCGCCGUCAAGAGUGUGUUAUAAAAUACAUUCUUAAUAUAUUUAUAUAAAAAAUCAGGUCAAGGUGCAGCUUAUGAUUAGGAGGAGGUGGGCUACAGUGGUCGUAGCCUCUCAGAUUAUAUUUUUAAAAAUUAUAUGAAGGUGGAUUUAAAUGUAAAUUUAUAAUUAUGUGAAUUGACAGGGUCAUGGAAAGUGCACACAU